UAAUUUUUCCCCACUGUUUUUUUUUCCUUUUUCUUCUUCCUGAUCUCCGACUUGUAGAUGGCCCUCCGACUGCCUGUCUCUUCGCCUCCCUCCCUUCUGCUCCUGCUCAUCUACAGGUGCAACUCCCUCUUUAUUUUCAGCACAACUGUGUUUGGAGUUUCCACAUAAUCUAUGCAACUAUCUUAUGAUUCUAGAGGGAAUAGUGUACCAACAAUUCUCUUGCUUAUGCAAGGCCACUUAUAUGCUCAAGGAGGCCUAAGGGCAGAAGGGAGCUUCAAGAUCAAUGCAGGAAAUAGUCAAGAGGAGAUUGUUCGGGAUGGCUAGGGAGAAGACUAUUUUCCAUGAAUUUUUUGGAAAAAAACAAUGGUUGGUAUGCAUUUAUAAAGUAGAAAUGAGGCAAUUUUUAGGGAAAAAACAAUGGUUGGUAUGCAUUUCUAAAUCUAUCAUAUCUCAUUUUCCAUGAAUUAUUGUUUUUCAUUUAUCUGUUUUGGGUCUUGUUCAGUCUCAUGCUAUUUAUUAAACAUUAUUUCUGGUUUGAUUCUUAUUUGGUUUAAGUAUAGUCUUUUAUUUCUCUGAGAAUAUUGACGCUGCACACCAUCUGUUUCCAAAUAUGUUUCAAUGAUACUGUUAAUGUAGCCUUGUAGUUUUCUUCUACAUUAUUGUUUGUUCAAGCUGAAUUGGGUUAAUGUGAGGUGUAAAAUGACACAUAUUUGGCCAUUGAUAAAUUCUACGCUGUCAAAUUCUGAUUCUUGAUGAAGAGAGGAUAAAACAUAUGUGAAUGGGCUCCAAAUAAUUGAGAAUGAGCAGUCUCAGUUGAUGUCAAUGGAUCAUGUGAGAGUAAAUGUUGCAAACUUAGCUGAUAUGGAGCAAAGUCGUAUGCUUGCUAAUACAUUAGCUUAGAACAAUGAUCCUAAAUUUCAUGUUUGUAAGCUAUGGUGUGCUGCAACUCUAUGAUGCUCUUGUUUUCAACAUGAAGAUAUUCUUUUUUAUUGCAUGGGAAGAAAAGUAAAGCACGAGGUCCCUGAAGAUUGAGUCUGUAAAUCUGGGAAGAGAGAUGAAGUUGUCACAAUAGCAAUGAGCAAGAGGCAAUUGUCAAUUUCACAGCUUCAUUCCAAGAAGAAAAAGCCAGUAGAAACUAGUAAAGUUAAAUUCAUUCCUCAUGAAGAAAUCCUUAAGCUGUGUUUAUGUAGGUGGUAAAACUAAGGAUGUUCAAGGAGACCUGCCAAAUUUCCCACUUAGUUUUACCUUGUAUAUCACAUAUUUUCCCGCUCCAGAUGUAACUUGGAAGUGGGUAACUUAUCCUUUAAUUUUAUUUCUUUAAUUAUUUUUUCUCUUACUUGAAAAUUCUUGAAUUUCUAAUAAUAAUAAAAAAUUGUGAUGCUGUGAAAUCAUUCCUUGCUUGAAAAGAAAAAUGCUUAGGCAUUUUUUUUUGGUGUAACACUCCUUGCUUUAAGGAAUACUCAAGGCUUCUUUGUGACUGGCACUUGUGGUUGUAGUUUUGAUAGUUUUUCAUGAGGGCCUCUUUGCUAUCUUUGUUGUUCUCUGUUUGUAAUUUUAUGUCUUAUGUGUACCAUCUUAGUGUGAAGCUGUCUAGACUGUAAUACAAUACAGGUGAUUUCUUAUCAUCUUUUUUUAAUACAAUAUUGUUUGGUUGGGAUUGAAAUGAUAGUAUUUAUGUGAGAAUAGAAAUAGAAUGGGAAAGAAAUAUCAAUUCUUUUGUUUGGUUGAAAUUUUGUUUGGAAUGGCAUGGACUAACAUUACUUUGACCAAAAUAUCCAUAUGCAACUAUAACUAUCAUGUAAUAUGAUUUUGUAAGCUAAGUAGACUAAAUAUUAAAAUUAUAUUUUUGAGUAAUUAAUAAAAAAAUUAUUUUGUUGUA